UACGAGUUUGAUCAUGGCUCAGAACGAACGCUGGCGGCAGGCCUAACACAUGCAAGUCGAGCGCCCCGCAAGGGGAGCGGCGGACGGGUGAGUAACGCGUGGGAACGUACCCUUUGCUACGGAAUAGCCUCGGGAAACUGGGAGUAAUACCGUAUGUGCCCUUCGGGGGAAAGAUUUAUCGGCAAAGGAUCGGCCCGCGUUGGAUUAGGUAGUUGGUGGGGUAAUGGCCUACCAAGCCGACGAUCCAUAGCUGGUUUGAGAGGAUGAUCAGCCACACUGGGACUGAGACACGGCCCAGACUCCUACGGGAGGCAGCAGUGGGGAAUCUUAGACAAUGGGCGCAAGCCUGAUCUAGCCAUGCCGCGUGAGCGAUGAAGGCCUUAGGGUUGUAAAGCUCUUUCAGUGGGGAAGAUAAUGACUGUACCCACAGAAGAAGCCCCGGCUAACUCCGUG
rnacentral:rRNA from 1 species